UGAAUACGAGACGCUAAGGCGUCGAAGUAGUGUAUGUCAUACUUCCAAGAAAAGCUUGCACUGUCAUAGAUAAAAAACGCCUGUACCAUAACCGACACAGGUGGGUAGGUAGAGUAUACUAAGGGGCGCGAGAUAACUCUCUCUAAGGAACUCGGCAAAAUAACUCCGUAACUUCGGGAGAAGGAGUGCCUUAUUCGUAAGGUUGCAAUAACAAGAUCCAAGCAACUGUUUAUCAAAAACACAGGUCUCCGCUAAGUCGUAAGACGAUGUAUGGGGGCUGACGCCUGCCCAGUGCCAGAAGGUUAAAGAAGUUGGUUAGCAUUUGCGAAGCUAGUGACUGAAGCCCUGGUGAACGGCGGCCGUAACUAUAACGGUCCUAAGGUAGCGAAAUUCCUUGUCGGGUAAGUUCCGACCCGCACGAAAGGCGUAAUGAUUUGGAUACUGUCUCGGAGAGGGGCUCGGUGAAAUAGACUUGUCUGUGAAGAUGCGGACUACCUGCACCAGGACAGAAAGACCCUAUGAAGCUUUACUGUAACUUGAAAUUGAAAUUGGACUUUAUUCGCGCAGUAUAGGUGGGAGGCGUUGAUUAUAAUCUUGCGGGAUUAUUGGAGCCAUCAGUGAGAUACCACUCUUGUAAUGUUAGAUUUCUAACUUUGAAUCAUUAUCUGGUCAAAGGACAGUUUCAGGCGGGCAGUUUGACUGGGGCGGUCGCCUCCCAAACGGUAACGGAGGCGUACAAAGGUUUCCUCUGAACGGUUAGAAAUCGUAUCUAGAGUGUAAAGGCAUAAGGAAGCUUGACUGUGAGACCUACAAGUCGAGCAGGGACGAAAGUCGGUCUUAGUGAUCUGACGGUACUGAGUGGAAAGGCCGUCACUCAACGGAUAAAAGUUACUCUAGGAUAACAGGCUGAUCUCCCCCAAGAGUUCACAUCGACGGGGAGGUUUGGCACCUCGAUGUCGGCUCAUCGCAUCCUGGGGCGGUAGUACGUCCCAAGGGUUGGGCUGUUCGCCCAUGAAAGCGGUACGCGAGCUGGGUUCAGAACGUCGUGAGACAGUUCGGUCCAUAUCCGGUGUAGGCGUUAGAAUAUUGAGAGGAGCCUUCUUUAGUACGAGAGGACCGAGAAGGACAUACCUCUGGUGUACCAGUUAUCGUGCCAACGGUAAACGCUGGGUAGCUAUGUAUGGAGUGGAUAACCGCUGAAAGCAUCUAAGUGGGAAGCCCACCUCAAGAUAAGUAUUCUCA
rnacentral:rRNA from 1 species